UGGAGGAAGUGUGUCACUGUGGGGGCGGGCUUGAGGUCUCUUAUGCUUAAGCUCCAACCAGUGUGGAAUUCAGUCUCUUCCUGGAUGCCUUCAGAUCAAGAUGUAGAACUCUGGCUCCUCCAUCACCAAGUCUGCCUGCACGCUGCCAUGCUUCCUGCCAUGAUGAUAAUGGACUAAACCUCCGAAACGCAAUGGAAGCCCUAACUAAGAUGUUCAUGAAAACCGGUAUCAAACUUGCUGAAUACAUCUGAAGAUCUAUGUUCCAUCCUUGGAGCCCACAGUGAAAGGAGAGAACCGACUCCUGAAAGCUGACCUCUGACCUCCACCGAUGCACCGGGGCAUCCUGACACUUCCUCCUCCCGAAAGUCCUAUCCCUGGCCAGGACCAGAAAGCACUCUAUUCAUCUGGCUCCUGAAUCCUGAUCCAGGAAGAAGGGGAAGCUGGGACUAUGCAGAAGAAGAGACCAAAUCCACAGUGACAUGGAUCCCAUGGGAGAGCCCGGCUUGUGCUAUCCCUCACCAGGAUUUCUCUGUGUAGCCCUGAAACUUGCUCGGUAGACCAGGCUGACCUCAAACUCACAGAGAUCCACAGGCCUCUGCUGGAAUUGAAGCUCUGGGCCACCGCUGCCACCAAAUCUUUUCCUUAAACGGCCCAGAGCUCAGCCUGUGGCCUCGGUGGGAACAAAGUAAAAUCUUGCAAUGAAGGCAGUCACAAUGCUGAGACUCCUACAUGUCACCAUCUACAUGGGUAAGAUUCCUACUAUGUCACUCACUAUGUCACUCGCAGAUAAUGUGGCCUUGGGCUAGUCAUUUCUGUGCCUGUGUUUUCUCAGUGGUGAAAUGAAGCUGACUAUGGUCCCUCUGAGGCCAGUGCAAUGGCUCAGUGAGUAAAGGUGCUGGCCAGGGCCUGGCAAUCUGAGAUCAAGCUGCGGGACCCACAGGGCAAAAGGAGAGAACGGAUUCCCACAAGUUGUCCUCUGACCUCUGUAUGUGUGUCCUGGCAUGUACAAACACAUGUGCGGACUUGCACGUGCACACACAAGAUACACACACACACACACACACACACUCACACUCACAAAUAAAAAAAGUUCAAUUCUUCUGCAGAGAGAGGUGUGAGGAAGAGCUGAGUCAGCACAGACAGGAUGCUUCUCUGGAGUGCUGGCAUGCGUGUAGAUCCUACAGCACCUAGCACCCUCAGUCUGGCCUCCUCGACUCUGGACUGCUGUAGACAAUCGCCAUGGGAUUGGUGGUGCGGAUGGAGAAUGGUCAGUGUUUACCAACAGGUGAUCAGGGCGGGAGGAUCGGUUGACACCUCUCUUGCAGAGCUGGGGGAGUCUCUCAGGACGAGUUUGUUCUCGUGAUGCUUAGUUCUGUUCUUGUGGACCUGGAUUCGUUUCCUUAAAAGCAGGUUCUCAUGAGUUGUGCCUGAUCCUUGGGUUUCUCCUCUUCCCCGUGCCUGCCCUUCCAAUUCUCUGUAAGCACAAGGCCAAGGUGGCUUCCUAGAAGCCAAGUGGAUGCCCACACCAGGCACUUGGACUUCAAGCCGCCACUGUUGAAAGCCAAAUGCUCUU
rnacentral:lncRNA from 1 species